rnacentral:rRNA from 1 species
CCUACGGGAGGCAGCAGUGGGGAAUAUUGCACAAUGGGCGAAAGCCUGAUGCAGCGACGCCGCGUGAGGGAUGACGGCCUUCGGGUUGUAAACCUCUUUCAGCAGGGAAGAAGCGAAAGUGACGGUACCUGCAGAAGAAGCGCCGGCUAACUACGUGCCAGCAGCCGCGGUAAUACGUAGGGCGCAAGCGUUGUCCGGAAUUAUUGGGCGUAAAGAGCUCGUAGGCGGCUUGUCACGUCGGUUGUGAAAGCCCGGGGCUUAACCCCGGGUCUGCAGUCGAUACGGGCAGGCUAGAGUGUGGUAGGGGAGAUCGGAAUUCCUGGUGUAGCGGUGAAAUGCGCAGAUAUCAGGAGGAACACCGGUGGCGAAGGCGGAUCUCUGGGCCAUUACUGACGCUGAGGAGCGAAAGCGUGGGGAGCGAACAGGAUUAGAUACCCUGGUAGUCCACGCCGUAAACGGUGGGAACUAGGUGUUGGCGACAUUCCACGUCGUCGGUGCCGCAGCUAACGCAUUAAGUUCCCCGCCUGGGGAGUACGGCCGCAAGGCUAAAACUUAAGGAAUUGACGG